rnacentral:rRNA from 1 species
GUGCACGCUGGCGGUAGGCCUAACACCUGCCAGUCGAACGGCAGCACAGUAAGAGCUUGCUCUUACGGGUGGCGAGUGGCGGACGGGUGAGGAAUACAUCGGAAUCUACUUUUUCGUGGGGGAUAACGUAGGGACACUUACGCUAAUACCGCAUACGACCUACGGGUGAAAGCAGGGGAUCUUCGGACCUUGCGCGAUUGAAUGAGCCGAUGUCGGAUUAGCUAGUUGGCGGGGUAAAGGCCCACCAAGGCGACGAUCCGUAGCUGGUCUGAGAGGAUGAUCAGCCACACUGGAACUGAGACACGGUCCAGACUCCUACGGGAGGCAGCAGUGGGGAAUAUUGGACAAUGGGCGCAAGCCUGAUCCAGCCAUACCGCGUGGGUGAAGAAGGCCUUCGGGUUGUAAAGCCCUUUUGUUGGGAAAGAAAAGCAGCAGGUUAAUACCCCGCUGUUCUGACGGUACCCAAAGAAUAAGCACCGGCUAACUUCGUG